UACGUAGGGGGCAAGCGUUGUCCGGAAUCAUUGGGCGUAAAGCGCGUGUAGGCGGCUGACUAAGUCCGCUCUGAAAGCCCGGGGCUCAACCCCGGGAGGCGGGUGGAUACUGGUCAGCUCGAGUCCGGAAGAGGAGUGUGGAAUUCCUGGUGUAGCGGUGAAAUGCGCAGAUAUCAGGAGGAACACCAGUGGCGAAGGCGGCCAACUGGUCCGGUACUGACGCUGAGGUGCGAAAGCGUGGGGAGCAAACAGG
rnacentral:rRNA from 1 species